GACGAACGCUGGCGGCGUGCUUGACACAUGCAAGUCGAACGGAAAGGCCUGCUUUCCCUUGUGGAUUGCGGGUACUCGAGUGGCGAACGGGUGAGUAACACGUGAGUGAUCUGCCCCCAACUUGGGUAUAAGCCUGGGAAACUGGGUCUAAUUCCCGAUAGGACUGCAGGGUGGUGCCUGUGGUGGAAAACGAUUUUCUAGUGGUUGGGGAUGAGCACGCGGCCUAUCAGCUUGUUGGUGGGGUAAUGGCCUACCAAGGCGGCGACGGGUAGCCGGCCUGAGAGGGUGGACGGCCACAUUGGGACUGAGAUACGGCCCAGACUCCUACGGGAGGCAGCAGUGGGGAAUAUUGCACAAUGGGCGGAAGCCUGAUGCAGCGACGCCGCGUGGGGGAUGACGGCCUUCGGGUUGUAAACUCCUUUCGACCGCGAGGAAGCCACCUGGUUGGAAGGGUGGUGACGGUAGUGGGAGAAGAAGCACCGGCUAACUACGUG
rnacentral:rRNA from 1 species